rnacentral:piRNA from 1 species
UGAAGUGUAAACUCCUCCAUGGG